rfam:Picea glauca, whole genome shotgun sequence.
GUGGCUGUAGUUUAGUGGUGAUAAUUCCACGUUGUGGACGUGGAGACCUGGGCUCAAAUCCCAGCAGCCACA